AAGCUGGCCUCUUACUGCACUUAAGGAAUUUCUUUUCUGUUCAGGGAUGUAAUUGGGCAUAGGGAAAUGCUGUUGCAACAACUUUGGGGAAACGUGCGGAGUAUCUUUUUUUUGACCUCUUGAUUUAGGGGUGGUCUUCUGGUUUUCUGCCCAGCUUUCUGGGUUUACUGCCUCUAAGGCAAGGCAGUAGUAGCUGUGUGAAGGAGCCCAGUACGUGUGGUGAUGGCUGUUCCCUUCUAUCUCUGUGCUUCAGAGGGUACUUGAGACAAGUGAAAUCUAUGCUUAUAGGUUUUGAUAAGCUCCAUCAGAAGCUAGUGUUGGUUUUACAUGAUUGUGGCAAUAAAUAGGAUAGCAUAUUGAGCUGAUGAUGUAACUGCCCCAUAAAAACGAACUUCUUUUGUCUAGCUAAGUCUAGACAUCUGCUGUUAGCAGUACCAAUCAUUACUUGAGGUUAAGGGCACUGUGACUCAAUAAAUGCAGUUAUGCCAUAAAUACAUGGCUUUGGUACACAUCAGCGUCCUAGUGUUCAGUAAAACUGGGAAUUCUUGCUCAAAAGAGCUAUAAGAGCUUGAUCUUGGUCAUCUUCUGAGUGGGGGAGGUCAUAUGUGUAGUUGCCAGAGGUUGGAUGUCUUCGGUUGGUGUUUGUCAUUUCCUUAGUCUGAAGCUGAAGUCCAAAGCACUGAGUACUGAAUGCAGCAUUUCUGUGCUGGACAAAUACGCUGAUGUUGUUAAGGAAGUACUGGCUGUAAGGGGAGGUGGAACUGAAACAUGGUAGAGGGGUAUAGCUGUCAUUAUCUCAUCAGGUUAACCUGGAGGGAAUGGUGUUCUUGAUGUUGGCAGCUUGACAAGAGACUGUUCUCUUCCCCAUGUUUCACUUCAGCCACCAGUCUGGGUGAUAUGUGAAGAUUUGGGAAUUGGAAUUGUAGAUUAAACAUGCACAAAUCAAGCUGGUGGCUUUUGUUUUUGUUUAGUAUGGGUCCUAAUCUCUCUCCUCAGAUAUCCUGCUGUAUUGCAGAACUCGAUUUGAGAAAGUUUAAAAGUAGAAUGUCUCUACAAUUGCAUGUGUCUGUGUGAAGAAUGCAUUGCCUGGAAGCUGUUCAUUAUACUUCCAUUGGACCUGAAGCUAGUUUUCACCAUCUGAAACACGGUAAUGAUACUGUAUUUUCAAAUGAGCAUAUCCUUCUGAAUUGACAACAGCAAAAUAAUUUGAGUUUCCAUCAUUUCAUUAGUCUGAGGCUUAAGUCCAAAACUUGGAAUUCACUUCUACUAGAAACACAAGUGCAGAUAACCACUUGAACUUGCUAGUCUUUGUCAACAACUAUUGACAAUCAGCUUUUAUGGUAACCUUGUACUAACUUGGUUGCGUUGAUUGAUUGGAUUAAGCACCAAACUGUUGUUUUUUUCCAUUGUGUAUGUACAAUUAAAAGAAUGUCAAGUUAUGCAUUGUUGAUGUAACUUAAUGGCUAAAAGCUCAAAUUCCAUAAUAAAUUCUACAG
ensembl:lncRNA